AAUUGAUUCACUGAGCUUGCUAUAACAAGAAAGUAUUACCUAUUCUGGUGUUUUCUUCCCCAUGAAACACCCAUUAUAUUGAUUCAAACAAU
rnacentral:snoRNA from 1 species